UACGUAGGCAGCAAGCGUCGUUCGGAAAUUACUGGGCGUAAAGAGUGUGUAGGCGGUGCUCUAAGUUUGGUGUGAAAUCUCCCGGCUCAACUGGGAGGGUGCGCCGAAAACUGGAAUGCUUGAACAUGGGGAGAGGAAAGCGGAAUUCCUGGUGUAGCGGUGAAAUGCGUAGAUAUCAGGAGGAACACCUGCGGUGUAGACGGCUUUCUGGACCAUUGUUGACGCUGAGACACGAAAGCGUGGGUAGCAAACAGG
rnacentral:rRNA from 1 species